UGGAUGAGGAUAGUCUUCAGCACUUUUUGCAAAGCAGUAUUAAUGUCCAUUAUACCUUUAGCAGCAAUGCCUUCAUCGACCAUGGUGGUGGGUUAUGGAUGAAGCCAAAUAUUGAAUGCACCUGAGCCUCCACCUCUGCACAAUUUAGCUGUGGCAGGCUUGUAUUUAUAAAACAGAACUGAACUAGCUGGUAGCAUUUACUCUGGAAUGAAGGAUGGAACUGAUGGGAUUUUCCAAAAGGAGCAGAAAGUCAGUAGGAGAAAAGUUGGAGCUGUACAUCCUCAAUGAGUUGCUACUUCUGUUAUACACAGAAAAUUAAAAGUUGAAUGAAACCCGCAACUAAGAAAUACCAAGUUCAACUAAAUUAAUAAAAUGUGUGCUGUGGGCUGAAGAUGUAUAUUCUGGCAUUCCUCCUUUCCUCGAAUGUCCUGCCAAGGCAUUUCUGCCUGAAUACACUGAGACCAAGGAUGGCAUAUUAGAAAAAAAUUUCUUUUCCAAGCUAGAUGAAUCACUGCUUCUUCUCUGAAUUUCAGCUCUCCGUGACUAUGGUGGAGAAGCUGUUGACAAAGUGUUGUAUGCAGGGGCCACCUUUGACUCUCUUAUCCUUUUCUUUAUCUCCACCUUAUACUCAUCUAUAGUUCUAUGAACUCUAUCUUCCUCUCCCUAUUGUUGGAAAUUCUGAUUCUGAAUACUAAACCAGAAUUAGACGUGGAAGUCUGGUAAAGAUUAUUACCUUUAUUAUUGCUAAAACUGGGUUGGAAAAUGAAGCCUGAAUUGAUGGUCAAAAUGAGGCUUCCCACUGCUUUACCCAGGUUUGAAUCUCAGGAUUCAUCUGGGGAAACCAUGGUACAGCCUACACUAUGUAGCAGACAGCACAGGGAACAGAAACUCAACUUACACACCUGAGGAGAAAUCCUGAAAACAGGGAUCUCUAAGUAGACAUGGGCCUGCUGACUUGCCUCUGAAAGGCAGUCCCUGGACUCUGACACG
rnacentral:lncRNA from 1 species